rnacentral:rRNA from 1 species
GACGAACGCUGGCGGCGUGCCUAAUACAUGCAAGUUGAGCGAUGAAGAUUGGUGCUUGCACCAAUUUGAAGAGCAGCGAACGGGUGAGUAACGCGUGGGGAAUCUGCCUUUGAGCGGGGGACAACAUUUGGAAACGAAUGCUAAUACCGCAUAACAACUUUAAACAUAAGUUUUAAGUUUGAAAGAUGCAAUUGCAUCACUCAAAGAUGAUCCCGCGUUGUAUUAGCUAGUUGGUGAGGUAAAGGCUCACCAAGGCGAUGAUACAUAGCCGACCUGAGAGGGUGAUCGGCCACAUUGGGACUGCGACACGGCCCAAACUCCUACGGGAGGCAGCAGUAGGGAAUCUUCGGCAAUGGACGAAAGUCUGACCGAGCAACGCCGCGUGAGUGAAGAAGGUUGUCGGAUCGUAAAACUCUGUUGGUAGAGAAGAACGUUGGUGAGAGUGGAAAGCUCAUCAAGUGACGGUAACUACCCAGAAAGGGACGGCUAACUACGUG